UGGGGAAUAUUGGACAAUGGGCGAAAGCCUGAUCCAGCCAUGCCGCGUGUGUGAAGAAGGCCUUCGGGUUGCAAAGCACUUUAAGCGAGGAGGAAGGUUCGUUACUUAAUACGUAACGGAAUUGACGUUACUCGCAGAAUAAGCACCGGCUAACUCUGUGCCAGCAGCCGCGGUAAUACAGAGGGUGCAAGCGUUAAUCGGAAUUACUGGGCGUAAAGCGCGCGUAGGCGGUUGCGUAAGUUGGAGGUGA
rnacentral:rRNA from 1 species